GAGUUACACCCGAGGACUGUCAAACCACACUCAGUCUCUCUGACUUUCUAUUAUACUGGACUUCCUGGAAUGCACCAACUGUGGGACAGGAGGAGCUAUGGAUUUUUGGCCCCCGUCAGAGAGGACAUUACAGGUGCAGAGACAGAGCGGCCAUUUUGACUUUUUGUCUGUUGGGGAAGAUUUGUUUGCUCAAACUCAUUUCCCCAGAUUUACAGUUUAAUAGCCCACAGCUGAGAAGACCUUUCACCAACCAGACACCUGCUGCAGAUCCCCCUGGAGCUGCCUCGAAGAAGGAUGCUAAUAUCACAUAUCAGUUAGAUGACCAAGUUCAGGGCCUGCACAACUGCUGCAGCUACAGCACCAGAGCUUGGAUCAAUGGAAUACUGCUGGGAAUACACUGGACCACACCCACAUACUGAUUAGACCCUCUGAUUGGAUAUCACAUGGAUGUCUUGACCACUGCCAUGGCUUUCAUGCAAAUUGAUAAAGGGGCGACUCAACAUUGAGUCUUUUCUGGAGGAGAGGAAGCGGUGCUGGUGGUGUUGUGGCGAGGGACUUCAAAGAGGCUGGGACAUCAGUCAUGAGUGAGCAGAGGGCAGAACCUGGUCAAUGGCAGGGAUUUGUCGUCUAAUAACCCCUCUGGGGGACUUCAGGUCUAAUUUCAGAGGCGCUGAAAGUAGGAUUUUAUGGAGUAUGCCAUAUCCUCAAGUCUUUGCUUUCACAUGUU